GGGGACGGAGGGAGGAGUGAGAGCAGCCGACGGCUGCUCAGGGCCGGCGACGGCGACGGCGACGGCUCGGCGGCAAGCCGCCGCCUUUUCUUUUUUCUGUCAGACAUUGGGAGGAGAGGAGAAAGAUUAAUUGAGUUUUAGAUUUAGAAAAGAGAGAAAAGGGGAAUAAGUAGGAAAGGGGAAAGGACUUAUCUUCUCCGGCAGAGACGGCGGCGACGCGGCGGAAGCAGCGGCACGAGCGGCGGCCCUUCGGGAUGCCGUUGCUCGACCGGCCGAGGGGGAGAAAGAAGAGCAGGCAGCGGUGCUGUUGAGGUCGUCGCGGCGGCACUGUGGUCGCCGGGGUGACUGCCCACCGCGAGCAGGAAGAGAGAGAGAGAUACCGAGAGGGGAUGGGCCGUGAGGAGGCGCGGCUGCCGUCGAUUCACCGGGACAGGAGCAGGACGACGGCGAUAUGCCGGACCUUCGCCGAUCUCGGGCGGCGGCGGCAGAAACGAGGAGAGGGAGAGAGAUGAGCUGUGUGUGUGUGCGUUUCUUGAAGUGAGAGGGAGAGACGUGAGAGAGGCGAGAGAGAUGAGUGUUGUGUGUGCUGAGUGUGUGUGUUUGUGUAUAUAUGUUAGUAUUAGAUUUUUUUUUUUAAUUUGGGCUUAAGCCCUAUAAUGAGGAUGGGCCGAAAAUUUUAAAAAAAAAAGAGUGGGCCGAUUUUAUUUUAUUUCUGUUGGGCCCAUUUUGCCUUUAAAUCUGAUGGGUUUUUAUUUAAUAGGUUUAGGCCCAAUUUUAAUUAAGUUUUGAGCUGUUAUUUAAAUAUAGGCCUACGAAUUUUGGCCUUAAUUCUAUAAAAAAAAAUGUUUGAUUUUUCACUAAAUUAUUUAGUGAAUUUAAAUCUCUUGAUUUAAAUUUUAAUAUUGGGAGUUGGAUUAUUUAUUCUAAAUGAAGUCCAUUCUAUUAUUUAAAUUAUUAAUGGACUUUAAAGCAAAUAUUUUGGGAUUAAGCCCCAUUUAUUACAUGAUAAAAUUAUUUUCAAAGCUUACGAGUAUGGAUUUUUUUUAAUGGUUAAAAUGUUUUAUUUCAUCUCAAUGGAUUUUAAAAUGUUUUAUUAUUUAUAAAUGAAUAAUGGAAUUUCUUAUUUAUUUACAUAAAAAAAAAUGAAAUGUAUAGAAUAUUAUAAAUAUGGUUUCUUUUAAAAGAAAAAGGAUUAAAUUAUUUUAUGAGUAAUUCCAUUAUAAUGGAAUUAAAAUGUCCUAUUAGAAUGGCUUCAUGUUUUAAAAAAAUAUUGAGACUAUUUAUGUGGAAUUGUGUUAUAGAAUGAUUAAGUAUAUGUAUUUACUUUAUCAAAUGAGCUUGGGAUUUAAUUGAGAUAUUAAAUUGCUAAGCAUAUGUUUAUAAAUGAUUUAUUUAUUUAAAGUGAUGAAAAUGUGNUUUGAAUCCGUUUGUAGAUUUAAAGGAUUAUUGAGUAGUCAAUAAUUAUUAUUUUCGGAUUAUAACUGACUUAGCAAAGUCAUGUUAUUUAAUUUAUAUACGAUAGAAAUAGUAUUUUCUAUUAUUUAAUUGAAGUCAUGAUUAAUUUUUCGACUUAUAAAACGAGUUAUAAAAUAUGUAAUUUGUAGAGAGUUAUAACGAAGCUUCGUUAUAUGGAAACCCGGAAUUAGUAUUACAAAUACGUUAUCAUAUACUUUUCAUUUCCACAUACAUCUAUCUCUUAAAUAAAUUGAUGGUAUUGGAAACACUCAUCAUAUGCAAAUUAUUCCACUAAUUCCACUAAUUCCACUAAACACUCUUUACACUCAUCAUUGCCGGCCAUCUUCUACACUCAUUCCACUAAUAAUCAUUAUUCCACUACCUCCCACUACUACACCCUUUUUCCCCACCAAUACACCUAACUCUCCACACACUUCAUUUUUUUUAUUUCUACACCACUAUAUUCCAUAUUCAGUACUACAUCUUGCAGAUUCCUCAUUAAGAAAUCCUCUCUCUCUAAUCUUCUAAAUUACCAUUUUCUUUCCUCCUACUCCUCACGGGUCCUUCAAAGAAAUUAUCAAGUUUGUUUCAAGUUCCAAAUCAAGAAUCAAGGUGUGUAAAUUUUGUUUAUUUCCUCCAUUUAAUUUUUCGAGGAUUACAUUCUAACACCUAGCAUCAUUUAUGCAGAAGCCACAAAUCCUCAUCUGCCUCUUCAAGGUUAUUUCCAGCAUAAACAACUUCUUUUAGAUUAUUAUUGCUUCAAUUACAUCAUCUUAUCAAGCAUCAGAGGACCACCAACAAACAAACACACACUCAUAAUCAUUAUUUUCACCUAACUAUUACAAUUACAAGGAUUUCAAGAUCUGAUAAAAAGAAAUGAUGAAAGAACAGAAUUUCUAAACAAAAACCCUAACUUUCUAUAUGUGAAUCUGGACUGAAAUUGAGCCUUCUUGUGUCUUUAUUGUGUGUGACCGGGGACGGAGGGAGGAGUGAGAGCAGCCGACGGCUGCUCAGGGCCGGCGACGGCGACGGCUCGGCGGCAAGCCGCCGCCUUUUCUUUUUUCUGUCAGACAUUGGGAGGAGAGGAGAAAGAUUAAUUAAGUUUUAGAUUUAGAAAAGAGAGAAAAGGGGAAUAAGUAGGAAAGGGGAAAGGACUUAUCUUCUCCGGCAGAGACGGCGGCGACGCGGCGGAAGCAGCGGCACGAGCGGCGGCCCUUCGGGAUGCUGUUGCUCGACCGGCCGAGGGGGAGAAAGAAGAGCAGGCAGCGGUGCUGUUGAGGUCGUCGCGGCGGCACUGUGGUCGCCGGGGUGACUGCCCACCGCGAGCAGGAAGAGAGAGAGAGAUACCGAGAGGGGAUGGGCCGUGAGGAGGCGCGGCUGCCGUCGAUUCACCGGGACAGGAGCAGGACGACGGCGAUAUGCCGGACCUUCGCCGAUCUCGGGCGGCGGCGGCAGAAACGAGGAGAGGGAGAGAGAUGAGCUGUGAGUGUGUGUGUGCGUUUCUUGAAGUGAGAGGGAGAGACGUGAGAGAGGCGAGAGAGAUGAGUGUUGUGU
rnacentral:lncRNA from 1 species